rnacentral:rRNA from 1 species
ACACGUGGGUAACCUGCCUUAUAGUGGGGGAUAGCCUUUCGAAAGGAAGAUUAAUACCGCAUAAGAUUGUAGUAUCGCAUGAUAUAGCAAUUAAAGGAGCAAUCCGCUAUAAGGUGGACCCGCGUCGCAUUAGCUAGUUGGUGAGGUAAUGGCUCACCAAGGCGACGAUGCGUAGCCGACCUGAGAGGGUGAUCGGCCACAUUGGGACUGAGACACGGCCCAGACUCCUACGGGAGGCAGCAUG